ensembl:lncRNA
UCAAAUUACAAGGAGCGUAGUCAACCUAGAAAUGCAUGUGCCUUCACAGAUUCCAUACCUACAUAGCCAUAAACACAAGACUAGCUCCCUCUGCUCAUUGUAGCAUAAAAGGUGCUAUUGAACUAACAUUACUAUCAUAUUAUUACAUAUAAAAUACAUUUCAGAGAAGUGGAUGUGUGAAGGUGGAUGUGAGUGCCUCAGGGAUGAAGGAGAGAAAAGAGAGGCAGAGCAGUAGAGGAAGAGGCAGAGCAGUAGAAGAAGUGCAGAAGAGGUAGUGCAGUAGAAGUAGAGGUAGAGCCGUAGAAGUAGUACAGUAGAGGAAGAGGUAGAGCAGUAGAAGUAGAGGAAGAGGCAGAGCAGUAGAAGAAGUGCAGUAGAGGUAGUGCAGUAGAAGUAGAGGUAGAGCCGUAGAAGUAGUACAGUAGAGGAAGAGGUAGUGCAGUAGAGGAAGAGGUGGAGCAGUAGAGGAAGAGGUAGAGCAGUAGAAGUAGAGGAAGAGGAAGAGGUAGUGCAGUAGAGGAAGAGGUGGAGCAGUAGAUGAAGAGGUAGAGCAGUAGAAGUAGAGGAAGAGGUGGAGCAGUAGAGGAAGAGGUAGAGCAGUAGAGGAAGAGGUGGAGCAGUAGAGGAAGAGGUAGAGCAGUAGAGGAAGAGGUAGUGCAGUAGAGGAAGAGGUAGUGCAGUAGAGGAAGAGGUAGAGCAGUAGAAGUAGUGCAGUAGAGGAGGAGGUAGAG